UUUGGAUUAAUACCUCAUAGUAUAUCGAGUUGGCAUCAACAUGAUAUUAAAGUCACAACGGUAAAAGAUGAGCAUGCGUCCCAUUAGCUAGUUGGUAAGGUAACGGCUUACCAAGGCAACGAUGGGUAGGGGUCCUGAGAGGGAGAUCCCCCACACUGGUACUGAGACACGGACCAGACUCCUACGGGAGGCAGCAGUGAGGAAUAUUGGACAAUGGGCGCAAGCCUGAUCCAGCCAUGCCGCGUGCAGGAUGACGGUCCUAUGGAUUGUAAACUGCUUUUGCACAGGAAGAAACAUCCCGACGUGUCGGGACUUGACGGUACUGUGAGAAUAAGGAUCGGCUAACUCCGUGCCAGCAGCCGCGGUAAUACGGAGGAUCCAAGCGUUAUCCGGAAUCAUUGGGUUUAAAGGGUCCGUAGGCGGUUUAGUAAGUCAGUGGUGAAAGCCCAUCGCUCAACGGUGGAACGGCCAUUGAUACUGCUAGACUUGAAUUAUUAGGAAGUAACUAGAAUAUGUAGUGUAGCGGUGAAAUGCUUAGAGAUUACAUGGAAUACCAAUUGCGAAGGCAGGUUACUACUAAUGGAUUGACGCUGAUGGACGAAAGCGUGGGUAGCGAACAGGAUUAGAUACCCUGGUAGUCCACGCCGUAAACGAUGGAUACUAGCUGUUGGGCGCAAGUUCAGUGGCUAAGCGAAAGUGAUAAGUAUCCCACCUGGGGAGUACGUUCGCAAGAAUGAAACUCAAAGGAAUUGACGGGGGCCCGCACAAGCGGUGGAGCAUGUGGUUUAAUUCGAUGAUACGCGAGGAACCUUACCAAGGCUUGAAUGUAGAUUGACCGGUUUGGAAACAGACUUUUCGCAAGACAAUUUACA
rnacentral:rRNA from 1 species